UUUUUACUUGUCAAACAAUGCGAAAGAACAGGGAAAGAAUACUCCAUAGAGAAGAAAAUUUCCAAGCUCCCGUUCAAUCCAUUUCGCAAACUGUUCGGUGAAAUUGAAUUCUAACGGAGUAUUCGCCGAUAACUUGAGUUUGGAUCUAUUUUUCUCUAAAACCCAAUUGCAGAGCAAAUUUUGUUGCACUCGUCGACCGCGGCUGGGUGUGGAGCACAUGUACUGGCUCGAGAGGCGAUCUUUGUACUGAAGUGUGAAAGGAUUUGAGGGUUCAUGGAGGACUGAGUUGGAAAUAAGUGAAACGCCUAAGGGUAAAG